rnacentral:rRNA from 1 species
CACCUCCCACCCAUGUUUAUUGUACCUUGUUGCUUCGGCGGGCCCGCCUCACGGCCGCCGGGGGGCUUCUGCCCUCUGGCCCGCGCCCGCCGAAGACACCAUUGAACACUGUCUGAAGAUUGCAGUCUGAGCAAUUAGCUAAAUAAGUUAAAACUUUCAACAACGGAUCUCUUGGUUCCGGCAUCGAUGAAGAACGCAGCGAAAUGCGAUACGUAAUGUGAAUUGCAGAAUUCAGUGAAUCAUCGAGUCUUUGAACGCACAUUGCGCCCCUUGGUAUUCCGGGGGGCAUGCCUGUCCGAGCGUCAUUGCUGCCCUCAAGCACGGCUUGUGUGUUGGGCCCCGUCCUCCUUCCCGGGGGACGGGCCCGAAAGGCAGCGGCGGCACCGCGUCCGGUCCUCGAGCGUAUGGGGCUUUGUCACCCGCUCUUGUAGGCCCGGCCGGCGCUUGCCGACAACAAUCAAUCUUUUUUCAGGUUGACCUCGGAUCAGGUAGGGAUACCCGCUGAACUUAAGCAUAUCAUA